AGAGUUUGAUCCUGGCUCAGAUUGAACGCUGGCGGCAUGCCUAACACAUGCAAGUCGAACGGGAGUAGCAAUACUCUAGUGGCGGACGGGUGAGGAAUACGUAGGAAUUUGCCCUUAAGUGGGGGAUAACCCGGGGAAACCCGGAUUAAUACCGCAUGAUCUCGAAAGAGCAAAGUGGGGGAUCGCAAGACCUCACGCUUUUGGAGAAGCCUACGUCGGAUUAGCUAGUUGGUGAGGUAAUGGCUCACCAAGGCGACGAUCCGUAACUGGUCUGAGAGGAUGAUCAGUCACACCGGAACUGAGACACGGUCCGGACUCCUACGGGAGGCAGCAGUGGGGAAUAUUGGACAAUGGGCGAAAGCCUGAUCCAGCAAUGCCGCGUGUGUGAAGAAGGCCUUCGGGUUGUAAAGCACUUUAAGUUGGGAAGAAAAAAUUCCACCUAAUACGUGGAGUCUUGACGGUACCGACAGAAUAAGCACCGGCUAACUCUGUGCCAGCAGCCGCGGUAAUACAGAGGGUGCAAGCGUUAAUCGGAUUUACUGGGCGUAAAGCGUGCGUAGGCGGUUCGUUAAGUCGAUUGUGAAAGCCCUGGGCUCAACCUGGGAAUUGCAGUCGAUACUGAUGGACUAGAGAACGGUAGAGGGAGGCGGAACUCCAGGUGUAGCGGUGAAAUGCGUAGAUAUCUGGAAGAACACCGAUGGCGAAGGCAACCUCCUGGGCCUGUUCUGACGCUGAGGCACGAAAGCGUGGGUAGCAAACAGGAUUAGAUACCCUGGUAGUCCACGCUGUAAACGAUGAGAACUUGACGUCGGGUCGCUUAGCGAUUCGGUGUCGAAGCUAACGCGCUAAGUUCUCCGCCUGGGGAGUACGGCCGCAAGGUUGAAACUCAAAGGAAUUGACGGGGGCCCGCACAAGCGGUGGAGUAUGUGGUUUAAUUCGAUGCAACGCGAAGAACCUUACCUGGUCUUGACAUGUCAAGAAGUCUGCAGAGAUGCGGAUGUGCCUUCGGGAACUUGAACACAGGUGCUGCAUGGCUGUCGUCAGCUCGUGUCGUGAGAUGUUGGGUUAAGUCCCGCAACGAGCGCAACCCUUG
rnacentral:rRNA from 1 species